CUUCAUCUAGUCUCCUUAAGUUGCAAGUUUUUGAUCACGAUCAUUUAAACCUAAGGUCCUAGUCUGUAAAUUUACAAGAGUACAUAUUCAUCAGGGAAAAUUAUUUCGCAAGCUUGUCAUAAUAGAAUUGUGUUCUGCCAACAUGCAUCCUUGAGUGUAAGAUUUAUACCAUAGGAAAACAGUGUACUGCAAGGGAAAACUCAGAUGGGAUUUAUAGCAUCUGAUAAUCCAUAAUAUAUGAUUAAAAAUGAAGCAAAUCACUAAACGAGUUGCUAUACACGUGUCUCAUAAAUGACAAAUAAAAAAGAAGCUAACACCAUAAACGCUUUGCCGUCUACAACCUUCAAAUCACUAGAGUAGCUGCUUAAAUUAAGAAAAAGUAGGGGAAAAAAACUAAAGGGAAAAAAAAGUAAAAGAUGAAAAGAAAAUCAACAUUUAAAUGGUAAAUUAAGGUGCAAAACCUUGAAGAACCAAAAUCGCUAAUGUCGAACCAGAAGUUAUAAUAGUAACUAACUAAUCGAUCCAUGAUUAAUUAAAGCUGUGACUUUAUGCUAAGGGCAUCUUUAAACUUUUAUUGUGCUACUCCUUUCCAUACUACUCUACUUUGCAGAUUAAACUUAAAGCUCUCCUUCACCCACUUGCUAUGGUAGGUGGGGGUAAAGAUUUCCAUGGCCCACAACAAGCUCCUGCUGCUCAACCCCAUCGGGAUGGCCACUCUAGGGCAACAAUUGUGGACAAAGAAGGGAAAACAAAAUUUGAGCCCCAAAUGCAAGUGAAGCCUAUAAUCAAUAUGAAGAAACUUCGAUCAUUGGUGACAAACUCAAUAGUGGUGGACGCUAAAUAUUGUUCUAGAAUGGAACUUAAGAUGCAAUCAACAUUGUUUCGUAAAUUCCUGGGAAAGGCCAUCCUUCUUGAUCAACUCCGAGACACCCUGAUUUGGUUGUGGGGCUCAUCUGGGACCUUCACAACUGCUGAUAUGCCUAACGGGUACUAUCUUAUCCAAGGCCAAACACCUGAGAUGGUGGAUUAAUUACGGUGAGAAGGUCCACGGACGAUAGGUGGAAUGGUUUUCUAGCUGAUGCUAUGGAGUAUGGAGAGGGAAUUUUCAACUGUUGUUCGAGAAAUUAGAUUUGGCAACUGUUUGGGUGCCACUGCACCAUUUACCUAUGGAAUUUUGGGACUUUGAGAUGCUAAAACAUAUUGGAUUUUACCUUGGAAGAUUGGUUAAGAUCAACGAGCAUACAGAGCAGCUGACCCAAGCAAAGUUUACAAGAAUAUGUGUUGAAGUUGAUUUGACACAACCCCUUAAGCAAGGCCUUUGGGUGGAAGCAAAGGGAAAGAAGGUUCUGGUUCCUUUUCUCUAUUGGAAAAACUACCUGUGUUCUGCUACCGGUGUGGCCGUAUUGGGCAUGAAAAAGUAAAAGGUUAGUAGGUAGCCAGCAAUCAACCAGACGGUGCUAGUUCUUGGGAUGGAAAGGCAAUCACUCUUCCAACCUAGGGAACUUAGCAUAACCGGUGUGGCGGGGCUGGCACCAUCUUGGAAGUGUUUGGCCAAGGUGAGGUGGAACCACCAUUACAGAUAGUGGGAGGAUCCCCGGAGCUACAAGAUGAGAUAACCAAAAAUCAACCAGAUGAGGACCCCUUGCUUGGAUUGUGGAUGGUGGUGCAGCGAGGCUGGGGAAGGGACGGGGCCACUCAUCGACAACCAUUUCCUGGGAGCAAGCUGUGUGCCCAGAGCUUGACAUGCGCCGAAAGGAUGGCUCCUUUGAACAACACGCGGCAAGGCUCCAGUUAAACACGUUCUUUGCAUGGGGCUCAUGGAGGAAAAGGAAAUUUAACAGUAGAUCUUCUCAAUCAUUGGCACAUCUUGAGGAAACGGUGCAUUGGAACAAAGGGAAGAAGAAGAAGAUAGGGGAGUACGACCUCGGGAUUUAGCAGGAGGAGUAAUCUUCCACAAUCCUGAUGGCGCCGCUUUGAAAAAAAGGCACUAGUGAUUCUUUGGGGAAGUUAACAGACUCUGUGAAUGGGAUGAUUUCCUAAACGAAGGUUAAACCGAGAAGAGGACAUGGAUCAACAUGCGUUAAUGGAAACCUCUGCUCAACCCCGUCUAAUGACAUCCCUCUCCUUUGGUAGAAAGCCCCUCGGAGUCCGAAGGACCAAUUGAACUAAGAAGAAUCUCACGAUAUGAUUGUAGACAAUCAACAGUGCCCUUAAUCCUAAAACCCAGUAACUGUAACCCCCAAAGAUAAUAUCAUGAUGAAGGAGCCUGAUGAUGAAGCCGAAUUUGAGACAGAGGAUGACCUUGAUGAUUAGAGCAAUUUCGAAGCGAUGUCGAGGAAAGAAUGCCUAAGACCCGACAAUCGGUCCAAGAAGGGCAGAUGCACAAAGAGCUAAUCUUUUCUCCUUCAUCUGGUGAAGCCGUUCCUUUUUCAUUCUCUUUUUUACCGUUAGCUUUUCAUGACUUCUCUAAGAAUAUUUUGUUAGAAUUGCAGGGGUUUGUCGAACCAUAGAAAACUUGACAACAUCAAGAAGUGCAUUGUUAAUCUUAAUCCAAGCAUCACCUGCCUUGUUGAAACCCGCACAAACCUUGAAUUUUGCAAUUCUGCAAAGGUUUCACCAAAAAUUAGGAGUGGGUGAUUGUCCCAUCUUGUGGAUUCUCGGGAGGAAUCAUUGUUCUUUAGCGAAAGCACUAUAAUGAGAUCACCCUCAUCCCCUAUUCCAGGUGCUCUCUAGACCUCGUUAUCUUUGGGAGCAAGCCAAACCACUUGAUUCUUUUUUUCAUCUAUAAUGCCCAAACUCUCUCCCUGGAAAAAGCUAACUGGAAGCACUUAUAUGGUUUACUGGCUAACAAAAUAGAUUCUAGCUUUCAUGCUGAGGCUGUAGCUAUGUUGAAAGCUUUGAAGUGUUAUAUUAAAGGCCUGCAACUUAAUAGCAUCCUAACAGACUGCAGAGAACUAGUGGACGCAAUCAACCACAAAGACCCCGUAAUGACUUGGUGAAUUUCUGGAGUGCUGAAUGCGAUCAGAUUUUGGCUCAAACAUUCUCCAUCUAUGACGAUUGGCUAUCUCCCUCGAAUUGCAAAUAAUUUUGCUUAUCACUUGGCGAAACAAGCCUGUUACCACCCUGAGUUGACACUGUUCCAUAGGGGAAUGGAGUUGCCUAGAUGGGUAAUUGAUGCUGCAGAAGAAGCCGGUUUAGCUUUUUAUUGGUGUCUGCUUAGUUCUUUGUUCUAGCUUUCGUUUAGUUUGUCCCCCGGCAAAAGGUGGUCAACAAGGAUAUGAAUAUAUAAAUAUAUAUGUCUGGGAUC